UACGAAGUGGGCUAGCGUUGCUCGGAAUCACUGGGCGUAAAGCGCACGUAGGCGGCUUCUUAAGUCAGGGGUGAAAUCCUGGAGCUCAACUCCAGAACUGCCUUUGAUACUGAGGAGCUUGAGUCCGGGAGAGGUGAGUGGAACUGCGAGUGUAGAGGUGAAAUUCGUAGAUAUUCGCAAGAACACCAGUGGCGAAGGCGGCUCACUGGCCCGAUACUGACGCUGAGGCACGAAAGCGUGGGGAGCAAACAGG
rnacentral:rRNA from 1 species